rnacentral:tRNA from 1 species
CACUAAGAAGCUAAACAGGGAGUAGCGUUAGCCUUUUAAGCUAAAGAAUGGUGAUUCCCAACCACCCGUAGUGA